CCCCGUGAACCUUUACUAUAGCUUGACACUGAACAUUGAGCCUUGAUGUGUAGGAUAGGUGGGAGGCUUUGAAGUGUGGACGCCAGUCUGCAUGGAGCCGGCCUUGAAAUACCACCCUUUAAUGUUUGAUGUUCUAACGUGGACCCGUGAUCCGGGUUGCGGACAGUGUCUGGUGGGUAGUUUGACUGGGGCGGUCUCCUCCUAAAGAGUAACGGAGGAGCACGAAGGUUGGCUAAUCCUGGUCGGACAUCAGGAGGUUAGUGCAAUGGCAUAAGCCAGCUUGACUGCGAGCGUGACGGCGCGAGCAGGUGCGAAAGCAGGUCAUAGUGAUCCGGUGGUUCUGAAUGGAAGGGCCAUCGCUCAACGGAUAAAAGGUACUCCGGGGAUAACAGGCUGAUACCGCCCAAGAGUUCAUAUCGACGGCGGUGUUUGGCACCUCGAUGUCGGCUCAUCACAUCCUGGGGCUGAAGUAGGUCCCAAGGGUAUGGCUGUUCGCCAUUUAAAGUGGUACGCGAGCUGGGUUUAGAACGUCGUGAGACAGUUCGGUCCCUAUCUGCCGUGGGCGCUGGAGAACUGAGGGGGGCUGCUCCUAGUACGAGAGGACCGGAGUGGACGCAUCACUGGUGUUCGGGUUGUCAUGCCAAUGGCACUGCCCGGUAGCUAAAUGCGGAAGAGAUAAGUGCUGAAAGCA
rnacentral:rRNA from 1 species